rnacentral:rRNA from 1 species
CCUACGGGGAGCAGCAGUCGAGAAUCAUUCACAAUGGGGGAAACCCUGAUGGUGCGACGCCGCGUGGGGGAAUGAAGGUCUUCGGAUUGUAAACCCCUGUCAUGUGGGAGCAAAUUAAAAAGAUAGUACCACACGAGGAAGAGACGGCUAACUCUGUGCCAGCAGCCGCGGUAAUACAGAGGUCUCAAGCGUUGUUCGGAAUCACUGGGCGUAAAGCGUGCGUAGGCUGUUUCGUAAGUCGUGUGUGAAAGGCGCGGGCUCAACCCGCGGACGGCACAUGAUACUGCGAGACUAGAGUAAUGGAGGGGGAACCGGAAUUCUCGGUGUAGCAGUGAAAUGCGUAGAUAUCGAGAGGAACACUCGUGGCGAAGGCGGGUUCCUGGACAUUAACUGACGCUGAGGCACGAAGGCCAGGGGAGCGAAAGGGAUUAGAUACCCUGGUAGUC